AAUUGUUAGUCAGCAAAACUUAAUUUUGGUAAACCCAUGCUGCGGGAAAGGAAAUGAAGGGAGAUGGAACCGGAUUUAGACCUGCCGGAGACCAAAAACAGCGAGGUACAGAGGAGAAAGAUCAAUCUGAUGUUCCUCUUGCUUGAGGAGAAGCUGGGGUGAGCUGCAGGAAAAGGAGUCGCUCACUUUGCAAAGUUGGUGAGCUCCUUCCAGCUACGAGAUCAGCCUGGGAACACUGUCCUACAGUGGCUUCUCACGGAUACCGCUCCACUCAAUGGCCUUCCUCCUCCUUGGCCACAGCUCCUCCAGCAAGGCUCCUGCUCAUCCCCGUGGCUGUCGCCCCUCCCUGCAUGGUCUCAGAAGCUGCGGCCCAUCAUGUCUGGACAACCCUCUGGGACCUCGGGUGCAGAGGUAUUUCCCCAGCAGAGCCCUUGCGAGGUGGGGGCUGUCACUUCUCAUUCUGAAGCGUCUUCAAUAUGAUGAUGGAUUAAAAUGGCUCUGGGCAAGAAAGACAGUCUGCCCAUCCUGUCCUUGUCAGUCACCAGAUGUGGGACAAAAGAAAGUUAUAGCAAGAAGUGUUCCUCUGCUUUUCUCUCUCACACUUCUCUCAGUCUUCUAGAGUAAUUCCAGGAAGGAAUGAGAGACAUUAAUAGCCAGCGGAUGGGAGCACUAAUCUGCUUUUAAAAGUACUUCAUUUAAAUUCUUCCUGGUCCUAUGACAGAUUUCUUUCAAUCUGGCCUCAUUUCGUCUGGUGCUGUCCUCAGCUUAAAAACUCACAGAACUCACUAAGCAAACCACAGGAACCUCGGAAGUUAAGUACAUUCACCGUGGAAGGGUAUAGCACAUCUCGUUCUCUCAAGGAAUUGAGGUAGUCUAUAUCCCACUUUACUGAAUACAUCUGAAAAAAGAGAGGAACCAUAAAAGAUCUAAAAUGAUUUUCAUUCUGUUAUUCUCCAAUCAGGGUGCACCAGUCUAUGGGAAUAAAGCCAUGGAAAAUACCCUCCAUUUUCCCUUAAUGUGCAAAUAUUCGUGGAAGAGAAAUACAGCAAAGAGAAAAGGCUAUUACAGAAAGAACCAUAAUAGACGUGAGGAGAGCACGCAGGGAGGAUAAACAACGCUGCCCAAAGAUUUGCAAAGACGUGUUCUUGCAGGAAGACUGAAGGUUCGCCAGACAACGUUACCAGAAGAAGCAAGCUAAGGUGAAAAGGGUUCAAGAAGGGCAAGGAUAUGCUGCCAUAUUUUAUGUCUCAUCCUGGAAGGAGAUGUUGUAAAAAGAACAAGACUGGGCUCAAUAUUGACUGGACAUCCUAGACUUCAUGUGUGGCUUUAUGGGAUGUAGCCCUGUUGUGGAACUUUCUCCUCCAUACUUGGGAAGGUGAAGAAGACAAUCCCGUUCUGGAGCCUAGAGCAGUGGUGGAGGCCUUGUCAUCCAUAGAAGACAAGUAUGUCUGGCAUCAAGGUGAUCCCACAACAGUGAGAAAUGUGGCGACAAAGCUGCACUUUAUCCUGGCACUGUCAUCCUAUAAAACAGCUGCGGCUAAGAAACCUCCCACCCAUUCUUUGGUGUUCUGGGAAACAGCCUGCCGCAAAGUAACAUCCUUCUCCAAAUGACCUAAGUAAGACUCGCAGACGCUCCCUUGUUUAUAUAUGGUAAGACCAGACACAGAACCUCCACAUUUCCAUUCUUUGUCUCAUACAUGAUCGCCUAUGAUGAUUGCUCCCCCCGCCCCCUACCCCACAAUCAGAACAAAGUGCUUAUGAAUCCAAUUCUGGUUAAGUUUCUUUUCUCUCUAAUCCCUGAAUUCUGACCUGAGCCUGAGCCAGCAUCCAGCCUCUCCUUGAUUCCCAUCCACUCCCCAAGGACAGGCUGACCUCAGAGUAUAACUUUCUGUGAUGUGAUCAGCCACCCUUUCAUCCCUGUUCCACACACAUGGUUAUUUCUGGUCUUGUUUAUUUUCCUCAAAAGAAAAAACUCUCUCUGCCUAAACCUUGAUCAUAAACCUUGCUGAUCUAUUAUUACAAUAGAACUCUCUGACCACAUGAUCAGAGAAAGAAUCCUUGAAAUGAUCCUUGAAACAAUCCUUUCAAAUAAAGUCUCUCUUUACUAAGUC